CAAAACCUCAAUCAUUUCCACUAUAGAAUAAAGUUAUCUUUACUUGCAAGAUAUCCAAGCUAUUAUAUAAGAUACUCACCUAAUUACUCAUGACCUUCCGUUCCGGGGGACUCGGGUGCCACUGAUUUUAGGCUAUGGAACCCUCAUGGCAACUCUAUAAGGAUUCGAUAUUUUGGUCAAAGCUGACCAGUGAAUGGAUUAUAUUAUUUUAAUAAAAACUGUAAAUAUUUUAUCGCUCCCUUUCCGUCGUGGAUCUAUUUCUUUAUCAGAGAUGGUGUCAGGUCCGUCCGGCUAUGUUGAAAAUUUGUUUUUCCAGCAUUUUUCUUUGCUCUAGAGGAUUAGGUAAAGGCGUAAACUAAUUGUUGCUUCCACAGAGAAGAGACGUUGUCUUAAGCUAUAAUACAUAAUUAUGCAUUGAAUUACGCGAUGGACUUAUUCAACUCUUCUACUUCAUUUAUUAGAGUGAUGAGAUUGGGUAGGAGCUUGAAUUAGAAGUCAGUGCUACUCCACAGAGCAAUGGCUUCCUGUUCUCUGGGCCGAACGUCGAUUCAAUUACGAUUAUCAUCAGUCCUGGCCAUCUUCGUCUUGCAGUUGGUCUUUGUAAAUGCAGGGCAAAAUACAAGGAUGCUAGGAGGGAGACUCAAUGAUGUAAGCCCUCCUCCAAGUCCAAAACCAGGCAGAGUACGACACAUGAUACCUCCCGAGAUUCCACCAAGUACUCGGACGCCCCCGCCGUCGCCCCCGCCCUCUCAUUCGUAAUGAGUGUUAAACACACGAGCUCAUUUUAUACCAUUUGUACCACAGUCACGAUUUCUUGAUUUCGCUUUUUUGUUCUAUGGUUUUAUGAUGGAGCAUAUUUGAUGAGAAAAUGGAUGUUUUUGUUGGAAAUUCCAGUUAAACUUGGUAAUGAUGUUUUAAAAAAUUCAAGUUGUGUAUUAUUAAAGUUCCAGAUUUGAAUAAUUAGUUAAUUAAUUGAUCUUAAUAAUUUUAUUUA